GUGCACUGAAAGCAUCUAACGGAAGAUGCGGUGCCUAUUUUGGCACAGAGUGCAGGUUCGAGUCCUGUCAGUGUACU
rnacentral:tRNA from 3 species